rnacentral:rRNA from 1 species
GACUCUCGGCAACGGAUAUCUCGGCUCUCGCAUCGAUGAAGAACGUAGCGAAAUGCGAUACUUGGUGUGAAUUGCAGAAUCCGUGAACCAUCGAGUCUUUGAACGCAAGUUGCGCCCGAAGCCGUUAGGCCGAGGCACGUCUGCCUGGGCGUCA